CUGAGAAGCUGCUCAUUGAAAACAUGAACCUCUCUGCCAUUCAGGACCGGGAGAUCUGCUGCUACUCCGUCUCCUGCAAAGAGAAAGACAAUAUAGAUAUCACGCUGCAGUGGCUCAUCCAACACUCAAAGUCUCGAAGAAGCUGAAGAUGAAGACCCCCCCCCAUUGCAGCCUCAGCCCCUAAUGCUCAUGGGACCUCGACAGCCAUCCCUUCCUCUGCCUCUGUGAAGUUAUCCAGCUCUGCUCACUACCAACGCCCCCGCACCACGCAGUACACUACCAUAGCCCCCUUGUACAGCACUACCCCCACCCGAAUAUCAGGAGAUUUAAGAAGCUGUUUCAGUACUGAGAAGGUGGAUUAUUCGUACCCGUCAUGCCUUAUAUGGACAUGCUGUGUCUGGCUUUUUAAUAUAGCUUCUGCAAGAAUCUCAUGAUGUCACAGUGUGGUAUUCCCCAGAUGGUCUUCCUUUAAUCCCACAUCUAGACAUCCUUUUGUCAACAUUUGGUGUUUACAUGACACUGUUGUUGUUGGGUUUUUUUAACAGUUAAUUGCCAAAUAACGAUGCUAGUUUAUGCUAAUCCCUACCGUUUAAUUCUUAAUGAAAUCUUCCCACUGUCUGCAGCCUGCAUUUUAUUUGCUGGUAUCCAUUUUUAUUAAGUGACUUAAGUCAAUGUUUACACAUAACUUAAAGAUGAACAGAAGUGUUGUUUUUGUCUGAAGCAAAAAAAAAAUCCUAAAAUAGGUCAUCAGAGUUUUAUAAGUGCCUUCGGCUGAGUGAGUGAUCCAAUCAGACAGUAAUUGCCCCAUGCGACUCCUAACCCACUAUUAUGAAUAAACAGUCGGUUCAGACGCAGCAUAAACCCCUUGAUUACACUUAAAGCCACACUGCGAUAAUCACGUUAUGUUUUGUGAUCUUAUUAUUAUGCCUUGAGAAAAAGGCAGUUCUGUAAAAUACGGUAUGAGGUCAUUGAGAAGAUGUUACAUUUGCUUUAGUUCAUGCGUAAUUGAAUGUUUUUUUAUAUAGCUUGAAAAUGUUUUCUUGCUGUUCUCAGGUUGUUGAAUGAUUUGAGUUUGACUCUUAUGGUCUGAUCUGUCGGGGUGUGCCCAGUAUCUGUUUCAUUAUCCCCAUUUUGUUCAGGUUGGAUAACAGGAAGCCAGUGUUACGGAGAACAGAAGAUGGUGGACGCUUGAUGCCAUUUAGCAUUUAGCGCCCUCCUCUGAAUCCUGAUGUCUUUAUUAGAAGCCUUAGCAGCCAAAGGACAACGCUGUCUCAAAAAGCGAUGUAUAACCUGGCAAGUUGUUUCCUUUUAACAAAAGACAAUGAUUUUAGAAAUACUUAUCUGCCCUUGCUUGGCCAGUUUAUCUUUUAUCAAUGUGUGUGUUGCUGGAUCCCUUCUGCCAUGAUGCUGUAUGCAGGCCCAAACGCUCCUGCAUUUCACUGUAAUUCUUUCUACAAAUGCAUUACAGACACUAUUAUAUCCCAUUGUUCUGUCUGGUGAUAGUAUAGUUGGGACCACAGCAGCAGUGAGGGGUUCUACAUUUGGGUGGCGGGGUGGAAAAGCUUUGUUACCUGUGUUAUUAUAAUAAUAUACCCUAUUUGCAAUUUGCAUGUGCAGAACUUAAUUCACAUUCAAUUGCAGACUUUGUAAAUAAGAUUUAGCAUUUUUAUUCCAACAGAUGCUCCUGUAGAUGUCAUGCAUUCUUUCGCUGUGAUGAUUGCUAAUAAAUUUGUUUUUAUUUUUAAGGAU